GAUGAACGCUGGCGGCGUGCCUAAUACAUGCAAGUCGAGCGAACAGACGAGGAGCUUGCUCCUCUGACGUUAGCGGCGGACGGGUGAGUAACACGUGGAUAACCUACCUAUAAGACUGGGAUAACUUCGGGAAACCGGAGCUAAUACCGGAUAAUAUAUUGAACCGCAUGGUUCAAUAGUGAAAGACGGUUUUGCUGUCACUUAUAGAUGGAUCCGCGCCGCAUUAGCUAGUUGGUAAGGUAACGGCUUACCAAGGCGACGAUGCGUAGCCGACCUGAGAGAGUGAUCGGCCACACGAGAACUGAGACACGGUCCAGACUCCUACGGGAGGCAGCAGUAGGGAAUCUUCCGCAAUGGUCGAAAGCCUGACGGAGCAACGCCGCGUGAGUGAUGAAGGUCUUCGGAUCGUAAAACUCUGUUAUUAGGGAAGAACAAAUGUGUAAGUAACUAUGCACGUCUUGACGGUACCUAAUCAGAAAGCCACGGCUAACUACGUG
rnacentral:rRNA from 1 species